AUAAGCAAAUGAGAAGGAAGCUGGGCGUUGAAAGAGCGGCGCUGAUUAGCGAAUCUGGAAUAGCCAGGAUGAAAGCCCACUUGUGAUUCGUCAUAAGUAGACCUGAAGGCCCUGUGGGCUGGAACCGGCCGGACAGUGAGGUAUGGCUGGCACCGUGCUCGGGGUGGGGGCCGGCGUGUUCAUCUUGGCCCUGCUCUGGGUGUUGGUGCUGCUGCUGUGUGUGCUGUUAUCCAGAGCCUCCGGGGUGGCCAGGUUCUCUGUCGUUGUUGUGUUCCUCGGGGCUCUGAUCAUCACAUCGGUUCUGCUGCUCUUCCCUCGAGCCAGUGAAGUCCCAGCCCCAGAGGUUGAAAUGAAGAUUGUGGAUUCCUUUUUCAUUGGCCGCUAUGUCCUGCUGGCUUUCCUCACUGCCGUUUUCCUUGGAGGCCUCUUUUUGGUUCUCAUUCAUCAUAUCCUAGAGCCAAUCUAUGCCAAACCACUGCGGUCCUACUGAGCGCUUUCAGGAAAACCAAGACCCUGUUCUGUCUUCACAUCUGAGGUGACUGAGGUGGCCUUGGCCCCUCGGAGACCCCGUACCCCCCCUUCUUGCCCUCAGGCUUACCCACGUUGAAGAUGUAGAGGGGCAGCCAGUAGAGGAAGGUGUAGCUGACCAGCUUGGCAAAGAGCAGACACAAGGAGAACUCGACCACACCCUGGAAAGCAUGACAGAGGGUGUGAUGGAAAGGCAUGCAAGACAUCCUUGGCCGGGGGAGCCCCAGGAGUGGCUCAGCACCCCCCAGCUCCGCCACCACCAACCGCACAAAGCAACCUCAAGGACAUCUCCAAUCGCGAUCAAAGCCAUGUGCCUGUGUUCAAACGCUGUGUCCAGACAAGCCUCCCAUGUUGCCCUUCCCAAGUUGGCUACUCCCCCGAAGCACCUCAUAGAAAGACAUUCUGGAAGCCAUCGAUCACCUGGAGCAUCCCCCCCAUCUCCUGACAUCCAGCAGGGACAUCUAGAGAGCCUCUCGCUUCCCUCCGUUCCGCAGACUUCUCACCGGGAUCCGGAGCGCCCCCAGGAAGCUGAUGGCAGCGGGCUGCACGCUUGGCUCCCUGGAGCACCUGGCCGCGCUCUCCAGGCUGCUCUCCUUGUUAGUGCAGGGAUCGUUGCCAAGGUCCUCAGCGUAGUCCUGGUUCUGUUCCAGCCCAUCCUGAACAGAGAGGAGCCCUGGAUGUGGGCACAGCCAAGGACCACCGCCCAACAGCUGGGGGGUCACCCGCGUGAGAGGUAGAGGCUCCCAGGCUGGAGGGGUUAUGCGCCCCCUCCAGGAUCGAACUACUGUCCUGCCAGGCCCACUCAGGCUAUCGGGGAGCCCGCCCAAGGGCCUGACACUGAGCCUGUGCUGUAACUGCAGCCACACGGAUCCCUCCUCCCACUCCCUCAUCCUCUCUGGGACCUGCCCCUGUGGGUGGAGUAGCAGGGCAGGGGGCGGGCUGGGGGGCUCACACUCGUGUGGUGCUGGGGAGCCGUGCAGUCCACAUCUUCUGGGUCUGAAAAAAAAACCAACCUUCUAAGAAGCUUCCCAGAAGGCCAGGCCUCACCCGCUAAGUUAAUGGCCAGUCCACUUCCCAGCACGAGGGAGCCUGGAACCCGGGCUUGGGAGGCACCUUCCAGGCCUGGCUGCCCUAACAACCGGUCACCAGCGUCAUCAACUGCUUUGUGGACUUUCAUUCCCUGGCUGCAAAGUGGCCACACUGCCAGGCUGCGCUGUCUCCCGAGGCCAUCAGGGAAUGCAGAACAGGACAGCGGGUAAGGAGGGUCCCGUCCCCUCCGCCCACCCCUGCUCCCACUUGCCGAACACAGCCAUGGGCCAGGCAUCCCGACUGCACAGCUCACUGAGCCCUUAACCAGCCCUAGCAAGUAGAGGCACUUCUGUUACAAAUGAGAAAACUGGGGCCCAGAGGGGCUGCUUGCCCCAGGCCACACACGGGUCCUCCGGCUCCGUGACCAGUAAUCCUCACCCUCGAGCCAGCUGCCUUCUCCCAGAGCCCAAGAGGAGAAGGGGGAGCUCAGUUCUGAGCCCCAUAGGGAGGGAGGGGUCCACUCACAUUCGAUGAGAAAGAAGAAGGUGAUGACACCCAUGGCGGCUGUGAUGACGCCAGGCACCACAAACGACAGGCCCCACUGCUCAUUCACCCAGACACCAGCGAUCAGGGAGCCCAGGAUGUUGCCCACGGAUGUGUGUGAGUUCCAGAUGCCCAUGAUGAGGCCCCGCCUGGAGGGGAGGGAGGGAGGAUAGGGAAGAAAAGGGGAGAAGAGAAAAAAAAAAAAGUCAAAAGAGAAGCACGGUGUUCAUCACAAAUGUCCUGACCAAGUGCAAAAAGCUGGCUGCCUCCAGCCUCCAAGCCCAAAGACAACCAGUCAGGGAGGUGCGGGAGGGCUGGCCUGGUGCCAAGCGGGUGACAGCAAGGCCUGGGGUCCCACUCCCCUCAGCCAGCAACCAGAGCCGGCUCACCCAGGCCUUCCAGAUGGAGCUCUCCCCACCCUGAGGACAUCCAGCCCCACCCUUCUCUUCCCUCUUGUCCCACGGCUGCUGCUCUAAACCCCCAGUCCUCAACCAAGGCCACUCUGCCUCCAGGGGACAGAGGCAAGGUCUGGAGACUUUUAACUGUCCCACUCCAGGCGUCAUACUGGCAUCUAGUGGGCAGAGACUGCUGAACGCCCUCCCCGUGUAAGGUUAGCCCCACGGCAAGAACGAUCUGGCCCCAAAUGUCCAGGAGGGCUGAGCUGGAGGAACCCCGCUCGAAAGCGACGUUUUUUGUUUUUGUUUUUGCACAAAAGCCAGUUUAAGUACAAAAUUAUGAUAAUAAAGUUUUAUAGGCUUCA